rnacentral:lncRNA from 1 species
CUGGGUCAAAGGUCAUCGCAAUGGCCGGGAAGAACUUCCUCUUCCUUGGCUCUCCCCACUUACUUCCUGAUAACCUGAGUUGAAGUCGGUGAAGACAUUCAUGAUUUAAACACCAGAUCCUGAAAGGCAUUAAAUCUACUUUGAAAUGAAUCUGCAAUCAGUAUUUCAAAGCUUUUCUGACGUUGCUGAAUUUGAAUUGGGAUCACAUGUGUUUCCUCAUCUAGGACCUGGUGGUGAGACUGAAAACCCCUGCAUCCUUGAGCUCAUGGACGAUGUGCUCUAUGAGGCAGUAGAGGAGCUCCGCCUGGUACUCGACACUCCACAAAGCAACUCUCCCUUUGGGGCUGCAGUUGGUGAACAAAAAGAAACUCUCAAGGAUCCAAGAUGAUGCUGAUAAGACUUAUUAAAUUUGGAGAAACCAAAUUUAACGUCACUGAACCCAAAGAACCCGGAGAGUCAGUGGUUAUAAGAAUUCCAGUGAUUC